CUCCUGAUAUGGCUACCUGUUAUAUCCUAUAACUAAGACUACUGCAGCAGUGACAAACAUGAUGAAAUUUUGGAGGUGUUACUAUGCUAAAUCCUACAUCCAUUCAUUGAUGUAAUGUGACAGCAUGUGGAGGAGCAUAUUUGGUUUCCAUGGACAGCAGAGGAAAGUACCAACAAUAUGUGGACAUUCUAUAACUUAGCCUAUUUUCUUGAGGCCCUGGGAACCAUUGACUGCACCCACAUGGAUGUCAGGUUCCCAUCCACUUCACAGAGCAUCCAGUAUAUAAAGAAGAAGGUCUUUCACUUUAUCAGCUGCCAGGAAGUAUUGUGAAAUGCACAAGCAGCAGAGAUCACUUUGAACUAGAAGGCCUGUCUAAGCAGUGCAGGUUCUUCAGAAUGCAGGGACACAACAGCCCAUAUAAGUACUAUCUUGCCUGGCUCCACUAUUGUUACUGCCACUGUUUCCAUCUAAUCCUAUAAAAUCCAAGAAAUUCCACAAAAACAAAUAUUUGUUCUAAGGAAGAAGGAGGCUGGAUGGAACCUGCUAAAAAUGAGGCUGAGAAGAGGCAAACUGAAUUGUUGUAGUGAAGGAUUCUAGAUUCAUAAUGAUAAGCAGUCUAAUGGCAGAGGGAUAUGGUCAGUAAGACACACUCAACUGCUAGGUUUGAUUUCAUCAGUAGCCACUAGUAAACUGCAUGAUUCUUUGCAAGUCAUUUAACCAAACAAUGUGACUGGGUUGCCUGCAAAAACAGUCACAUACACUGAUUAAUCUAAGCGGGUUAAAAAAUGAAUACAAUUUCAAAUAAGUAAAUGGACAAACCAAUUAGACAGUUAAUGCCUUUGUGAGGCAUCAUCUAUCAUGGGCAAAAUUAAGAACAAGUGUGAAAAAAGUGACAAAUAAUGUGAGUUGCCAUCUGAUUAUAAAGAUAAUGCUGUAAAUCAGUACCAAAUAAAUAAAUAAAUAAAUAAAUCUCUA